UACGGAGGGGGGCUAGCGUUGUUCGGAAUUACUGGGCGUAAAGCGCGCGUAGGCGGGUUGGUAAGUCCGCUGUGAAAGCCCGGAGCUUAACUCCGGAGGGUCGGUGGAUACUGCCAGUCUUGAAGGUGCUAGGGGGAGAUGGAAUUACCGGUGUAGCGGUGAAAUGCGUAGAUAUCGGUAGGAACACCAGUGGCGAAGGCGGUCUCCUGGGGCAUUCUUGACGCUGAUGCGCGAAAGCUGGGGGAGCGAACGGG
rnacentral:rRNA from 1 species